rnacentral:rRNA from 1 species
GACAGAGGGUGCAAACGUUGUUCGGAAUUACUGGGCGUAAAGCGCGUGUAGGCUGCCCGGCAAGUCGGAUGUGAAAGCCCUGGGCUUAACCUAGGAAGUGCAUUCGAAACUGCUGGGCUUGAGUUCUGGAGAGGAAGGCGGAAUUCUCGGUGUAGAGGUGAAAUUCGUAGAUAUCGAGAGGAACACCGGUGGCGAAGGCGGCCUUCUGGACAGUGACUGACGCUGAGACGGCGAAAGCGUGGGGAGCAAACAGG